CCUACGGUGGGCAGCAGUGGGGAAUCUUCCGCAAUGGGCGCAAGCCUGACGGAGCAACGCCGCGUGAGUGAAGAAGGUCUUCGGAUCGUAAAGCUCUGUUGAUGGGGACGAACGUGCGAAGGGUGAAUAAUCCUUUGUAAUGACGGUAACUAUCGAGGAAGCCACGGCUAACUACGUGCCAGCAGCCGCGGUAAUACGUAGGUGGCGAGCGUUGUCCGGAAUCAUUGGGCGUAAAGGGAGCGCAGGCGGGCAUAUAAGUCUUUCUUAAAAGUGCGGGGCUCAACCCCGGGAUGGGAAAGAAACUAUAUGUCUUGAGUACAGGAGAGGAAAGCGGAAUUCCCAGUGUAGCGGUGAAAUGCGUAGAUAUUGGGAGGAACACCAGUGGCGAAGGCGGCUUUCUGGACUGCAACUGACGCUGAGGCUCGAAAGCCAGGGGAGCGAACGGGAUUAGAUACCCCGGUAGUC
rnacentral:rRNA from 1 species